GGGCAAUUGGCGAAGUGGUAUCGCGUCCGCUUUGCAAGAACCAUUCUAGACUGCGGAAGAUCCAGGGUUCAAUCCCCUGAUUGUCCA